UGAGAGUGUUUUGCUGUUUGUGCUCUAGUUUCAGAAUUGGUGUACCCUUUGGGAGAUUUACAUGGGGAUCUUGCUAUGGAGUCAGAAUGUCUUCCAUGUGAUCUUGAUUUUGUUCCUGAGCUAGUCUGCUUUUGAGGCUAUCAGACCGCCGUCUAUUUCUCCCCCAUGAAGAACUUCUACUUCGAGUUCUCCUUUGGCUGGGGCUUCUUGAUCUCCGGUGAUCGCUUGGAGAACAAGGGUGACGUUCUUUUGAUUUCAUUUGGCCUGGUGCUAGAAUAUGAAGUUCAAGACUUAUAAUUCACUAUCAAUAAAUAACCACUCAAUAAAUAAACCAUUCAAAUAGUAUUAUUUUCUGAAAGAUUUUUAAAUAAAAAAAUCUGUCAUUGCUGAAACUCAUUCUGCUGAAUAAACAAGAUCUACUAUUUGGUCACACUUACUUUUGCGAUCACCUUGUGCAAACUGUAUUUCAAUCUGACGGCCACAUACCCACUUUCUAUUGAGGUUAUAAAGAGCAUCUUCAGCAUCACGAACAUCUUCAAAUAUGACUAGCUGUUAAGGACACUUUGAACAUCAAUAUCAAGUAAAAAUAUUGUUUUUAAAAAAUUAUUUACAUGUAACAUGAAAUUAAUCAGAAAAACAAGUUUGAGUUACUAAGCUCACAUCUCUAAUAUAAAAUGAAUAAUCAGAUAAGAAGUUACUUUUAUUAUCAAAUGAUCUAUUAUGAUUCAAAAGAGUAAAUCUAAAAAUUAAAAAAAAACAAAUGUGUAACUACAUUUUUAAUGUAUUCAUUAGUGCAACUGUAGUAUGUAUGUUUAAUUUGAAACAUGUUAUGAGGGAAAAUAAGUCCAACAUUGGCUAGUAUUAUUAAAUAAACUGUUUAGGACUCACUCCUUUCUUUCAGGUAAAAGAUUUAUCACGUUUUUCACUGAAAAAAAUCAGCAUGCAGAAGUCUUUAUUCUGAAAUUAAAAUUACUCUUUCAUUAAAAGGCUUUUUAAUUCAUUUAGGAGAAAUUACUUAUAAACAAAAGUGCAAACACAUAAGUGAGCUAAAACAUUACAUUCUCAAAACUUAUAUGGUCCUUUAAAAAUGAUCAUAUCUAACUUUGAAACUACUGCUUUAAAAACACCUUUAUGUUUUUAUUACUUGGGAUAGAAUUAGAAACAUAAUAUCCCACUAAACUCCCUUAUCUAUAGAAAUUAUAUGUUUAACCUAACUAAAAAUGGAAAUAAACUAUAUAAAAUGACUAAAUAGCUGUCAGGAAGUUGUUCACUUGUUCAAUUUUUUUUCUUUAAAUAGAAAACAGAAAAAGCUCAAGUACUGCAAAACAAAAUGAGACUUUGGCAAUUACCUCCAUGUCACUUGAUCUUGACCUUGACCUUUAUUCUUUAGGGCUUGCAAGAUGGACUUUAUAAGAGACGCAGAACCAACAAAAUCAGACUUGGCUUUGACUCUGGAACUCUGAGUAAAUGUAGGAAAGCCGAAGUCUCAACCUGGUGUUGGCUUUGUCUUUUGCUUGAUAAAGACUUCCCCUCUUCCAGGUCUUUAUACUGUGUCCACCCUCCCUUUUUACUCCUUGAUGCUUCAACUUUAGGUGUCUUUUGUCUCGCCUGCUUGGUUUAUGCUUGAAUUCUAGCUAACAGGUUGGUUCAAACUGGGGGGCGCUUGCCAGCUACUGUGGACUGCUUUAGAUUUUCUGAGAUAAAGAAAUAAACACAUUUAAUUAGGCAAUAUUAAUCUCAUAACACAUGCUUCUGAAUACACAUAUGUAUACGCACAUGUAUGUAAUCUGUUCACACACAGUAAAAUAAAGGAUAUUGAACAUAAGCAAAUCCUCUUGGGCGGCGGGUGUAGAAGUCAAGUGGAAUGUAAACGUCUACUAUAGGGCCAUAUCGACCAAAUUCACGGCGCAAGUCCUCAGGCCUGAAGUGUUUUAGAAAUAAGGCAAAGAAAUAUGAAUAGCCGGAUUAAAAUACUGUGCCUACAGAAAACCCACUUAAAAUCUUCAAAAGAAAGUAUAUGAUCCAGAUUAGCACUAUCUACAAUCUCUCUGGGGUUUAGAAAAGAAGGAAAAAGAAAAGGAAACAAAUUCUCAGCUCUCACCUCUGGAGAUUCUGAUUCAAGAAGUCUGGAUUGGGGUUGGAAAUUUGUAUUUUUACCAGCACUGUAGGUGGCUGUUAUGCUUAGUCAGGCUGGGGAACCACUGACCCAGCAUAUCGACUUUUGAAAGUUAAUGCUAUUGCAAGACUUUUCAAUUGUCAAUAUAAAGAGUUCUAUUUCAUUAAGAACAUAUUCAUUUGCCUCACUAUAAUUUCACAUUUAUGUUAACUGUUUUCAGAUAGCAAGAAUUAGAUUCUAAAGAAGUCCUAAAAUUAUUUCUCAGGCUUUAAAGAAAGAUGGACGUUUUACUAGUAAACAUAAAACAAAAAUAACUACCAUAUUCUCAAAUUUGACAAGAAUUUUUGAGUCACUUACGUGACUUCUCUGUGAUAGUACUAAAGAGGGGAUACCAAAGAAAUACAUAGCAUAAUAUUUGUCUUCAUGGAGCUACAACUUAACUGAAGAGACAAAACACUUGGAAUUAAGAGCUCGCCGUUAUAGUGUGUUUAUAUGCCAGCUACUGUUAAACUUAAGACCACUUAAUUCCCAGAACAAGCCUACUGUUGUUUAUAGAUGAGGGCACAGACAGAUGAACUCACCUAACGCGACCGAGGUAAAAUCAAACUCCCAGUCUGACACUAGUCUCUGUUCCUAACCACUGAACCCUACUGCCUCAUGAAGAUCUGACAGAUCAGCAUCAAGCUAUGAGCACAAAACAUGGCUUAGAAGAUGUAGCACAUUUCAAAACACUGUGCAGAAAAAGACCCAAAUGACUGCAAAGCUUCUAACUUGGGCAAAUAAAAGAAAGAUGGUGUCUAUGAAGAAAAUUAAAUAGCUGGAAAAGAGAUUUAGGUUGAAGAGGAAGGAGAGAGGCAAAAGAAGAAACUUUCAGGUUUAGAAAUGCUAAAAUUGACGUGAUGCUGGUACACCCACUCUGUAAGAAACUGAAAACUGCCACUAUACAAAUUACACUAAUUAAUUUUAUUUUCCUCUCAUGACUAGAAGUUAGUGACUAAAGCCAGAUAUGUGAAUAUAGGAGUUAUUACAUAAAGAUUCAGCUAACACUGACUAAGCUGAAUACCAGGUGGUGCAGCCGAUGUUGUGACAAGCGUUAUUAUACUUCUAUUAUUUAUUAUUUUAUUUCAUGUACUACUCACUAUAACAUGUUUAAUUGUCUGCCUUCCCUGAGAGACUGUUAACUUUAAAUUUAGAGUAGAGUGACAAUGUUUUUCUUUCAUUUAUUCAUUCAAUAAAUACUUAUUGAGUACAUACUAUGGGCCAGGCUCUAGGAAAUUUUUUUUUUGUAUUUUUGUUGUGACCUAUUUUGACAUUCAGAAAUGUGUAGAGAUAAUAAAACAAACAUCCGUGUAUCCACCAACAAGAUUUAUUAUAUCUCAAUACUUGCCAUAUUUGCCAUAAUUUUCAGUAUUUUUAAAGAAAUAAGAUAUUAUAUCUUUCUACCUAAGAAA